rnacentral:rRNA from 1 species
AUUGAACGCUGGCGGCAUGCCUUACACAUGCAAGUCGAACGGUAACGGGCCUUCGGGUGCCGACGAGUGGCGAACGGGUGAGUAAUACAUCGGAACGUGCCCGAUCGUGGGGGAUAACGAGGCGAAAGCUUUGCUAAUACCGCAUACGAUCUACGGAUGAAAGCAGGGGACCGCAAGGCCUUGCGCGGACGGAGCGGCCGAUGGCAGAUUAGGUAGUUGGUGGGAUAAAAGCUUACCAAGCCGACGAUCUGUAGCUGGUCUGAGAGGAUGAUCAGCCACACUGGGACUGAGACACGGCCCAGACUCCUACGGGAGGCAGCGGUGGGGAAUUUUGGACAAUGGGCGCAAGCCUGAUCCAGCCAUGCCGCGUGCAGGAUGAAGGCCUUCGGGUUGUAAACUGCUUUUGUACGGAACGAAAAGCCUUCUUUUAAUACAGGAGGGUCAUGACGGUGCCGUAAGAAUAAGCACCGGCUAACUACGUG